GCGAGAGUGGUGAAACUGGUAGACACGCUAGCCUUAGGAGCUAGUGCCCUCGGCAUAAGGGUUCGAGUCCCUUCUCUCGCAC
rnacentral:tRNA from 1 species